CCUACGGGAGGCAGCAGUGAGGAAUAUUGGUCAAUGGACGAGAGUCUGAACCAGCCAAGUAGCGUGAAGGAUGACUGCCCUAUGGGUUUUAAACUUCUUUUAUAAAGGAAUAAAACGAGGCACGUGUGCCUUUUUGCAUGUACUUUAUGAAUAAGGAUCGGCUAACUCCGUGCCAGCAGCCGCGGUAAUACGGAGGAUCCGAGCGUUAUCCGGAUUUAUUGGGUGUAAAGGGAGCGUAGAUGGGUUGUUAAGUCAGUUGUGAAAGUUUGCGGCUUAACCGUAAAAUUGCAAUUGAUACUGGCAGUCUUGAGUACAGGUGAGGUAGGCGGAAUUCGUGGUGUAGCGGUGAAAUGCGUAGAUAUCACGAAGAAUACCGAUUGCGAAGGCAGCUUACUAAACUGUGACUGACACUGAUGCUCGAAAGUGUGGGUAUCAAACAGGAUUAGAUACCCCUGUAGUC
rnacentral:rRNA from 1 species